GACGAACGCUGGCGGCGUGCUUAACACAUGCAAGUCGAACGGAAAGGCCCUGCUUUUGUGGGGUGCUCGAGUGGCGAACGGGUGAGUAACACGUGAGUAACCUGCCCUUGACUUUGGGAUAACUUCAGGAAACUGGGGCUAAUACCGGAUAGGAGCUCCUGCUGCACGGUGGGGGUUGGAAAGUUUCGGCGGUUGGGGAUGGACUCGCGGCUUAUCAGCUUGUUGGUGGGGUAGUGGCUUACCAAGGCUUUGACGGGUAGCCGGCCUGAGAGGGUGACCGGCCACAUUGGGACUGAGAUACGGCCCAGACUCCUACGGGAGGCAGCAGUGGGGAAUAUUGCACAAUGGGCGGAAGCCUGAUGCAGCAACGCCGCGUGCGGGAUGAUGGCCUUCGGGUUGUAAACCGCUUUCGCCUGUGACGAAGCGUGAGUGACGGUAAUGGGUAAAGAAGCACCGGCUAACUACGUG
rnacentral:rRNA from 1 species